CACGUAGGCGGCUUUUUAAGUCAGGGGUGAAAUCCUGGAGCUCAACUCCAGAACUGCCUUUGAUACUGAGAAGCUUGAGUCCGGGAGAGGUGAGUGGAACUGCGAGUGUAGAGGUGAAAUUCGUAGAUAUUCGCAAGAACACCAGUGGCGAAGGCGGCUCACUGGCCCGGUACUGACGCUGAGGUGCGAAAGCGUGGGGAGCAAACA
rnacentral:rRNA from 1 species